rnacentral:snRNA from 1 species
GCGAACCGGGAAGAGCCC